AGGAGCCGUAUGAGAUGAAAAUCUCACGUACGGUUCUGGAACGGGGAUUCUUUGAAUAGAAUGAACGACCGUAAC
rfam:Macleaya cordata isolate BLH2017 scaffold213, whole genome shotgun sequence.